rnacentral:tRNA from 3 species
UCCUCUUUAGCUCAGUUGGUUAGAGCAUCUGACUGUUAAUCAGAGGGUCCAAGGUUCGAGUCCUUGAAGAGGAGCUA